AACCCGGGCCGCACGCAUGCCAGGCGAGCGCUACCGCUUGAGCCACAUCCCCAGCCCCACAUUAUUUCCUUUUCAACCCUCUUCUCCACUCCUGGGUCCAGAAGAAGAGUUCUGUUUGGGGCAYUCUGCUGAGGCUUCUCAUGUCGUCACAGUUGAUCUUCCCACUAAUCCAUGGGGUGAGAACAACGAUCGCUCCCAUAUUUUAGAUAAGGACACCGGCUCARAGACAUGAAGUAACUUGUCCCAAUUCACACAGCCAGGAAAAGGGCUAGUCCRCCACAGUGAAUGCCCAGUACCCACUGACACCUGCCACGCCCUGCUCAGCUCAGAGGGGCCCUCUGGCUCCACGCAGGUGGCUCCUCUCCAUGGAGAACUCUCAGAAACUGGGCUCUCGGGAUGCUGGUCACCUGGGCUUCCCCACUGCACGCCAUGYACCCCAGGACAGCAGCAGCUGGGGAGCCAGAUGUUUCUGGUGUAUAAAGACAGAACAUGGAGAAAGAAGCUGUUUAAUGAUGGCAUCGUGAGUAAGCGUGGGGUCAUUUGAAGAAAUGCAAAGGAGGGCAUUCCCGGUAAGGAGGGCAGCUGGGGCUGUCUUGUGUUGCCUCCGGAGGUCUUGGAACAUGCACGGCUCCUGGUGCUCACUUGACRUCGGCUGCCGUGACUUCAUGGUCUCAUCAAAGAAGCCCGGCCUCUGCGAGAGGGCAGUGUGGAGCAACUUGUGCGGCGCUUUGCCUCGGUGGUGGUGGUGGGGGGUGUAUGCCAAGUCCUCAGCCCAGCGUGAGUGGAAGCAUUAAAGAUUGAUGGCCUCUUCCUUUGAAGUCGUCUUUGUGUGCCUCGCACCACUUGGCCCGCAGCUCUGGCGAUGGCAGGCCGGCCUCCUUCGCCUCCCUGUUUACUAGAUCUCUUCUAGCAGAMCUUUUCUGUCACAGGGGCCACUGUCAAGCUGUCUGUCUGCCCUCCCAGACACCCCAAGCCUUGCUGGACCAGGAAAGGUGUCAGUGGCCAUGGCCACCCGCAUCUGCUGGGAGCCCGGGCAGGGACACCUCCUCAUGCUCCGCUCAGAUGCUCCACUUUCCAGGACAUCAGGCAGGAGAGCGUCUUAGGGAGGCAGCGGGUGAGUGGGCAGGAGCUGGCUGGGAUGGAGCCAGGCCCAGGAUCAAACCCUGCUGGCUGGUCUCCAGCUGUGUGGCUUCCAGCAGGUCCAGAAGUUCUCUCAGCUGCCCUUUCCUCCUUUGUAAAAUGAGGGCAAUGGGCCUGGAGGGAGCUGGUGGGAGGAUUAGAGAUGAUGCGUUUUAGCAGCUUAGCCCAAGAUAGAUGCGAUGGAUCGAACUGUGUCCCUUGAAAUCCACAUGUCCAAGCCCUGGCCCUCACCCUGCUCGUAUCUGGAGAGGAAGCCUUGGGAGGUAAUGGGUUUAGAUGAGGUCACGGAGGGGGAGUUUUCAGAAGAGACCACAGAGCUGCCUCAGUCUCUCCGCAUAAGCACACAGGGAGGAGGAGGCUGUCUGGAGAGCCCCCCACCAGAACCCGACCAUGCUGGUGCCUCRAUCUCAGAUUGCCAGCCUCCAAGCYCAGGAGAGAAGACAUUUCUGUGGUGGAAGGCACACCGUCUGGUGCUCUGUUAUGGCAGCCUGAUUAAGACAGCAAGCAAUCGAUCCCAGAAGGCUGUUAUGAUUAUUGUGGCUAUUUAUAGACGACAGAUGUUUUUUUCCCUGAUGGGUGAUAAGCUUUUGGAAGGCGAGGRCACUGAGACUUUGCUAUAUCUCUGUUCUAGAUCCCCUCAAGGGCCSAGCCCAGGUCACAACCUAGGGUAGAGUCUUCGUAAAUGCUUAUUGAAUGUCUGUCGGAUGAAUAGAUGGAUGGACAGAUAAACUAAAGGAAGGAGAUGGGAAUCUCAAAUACUCUGUCACGUGACCCAAGAGACAUUUCCAUGUGUUUAAGAUCACAGUAACCUAAGAAGUGGCAGCAGGGGCCUAUCUGGGACCCCCUGGACUAAUGGGUAAUAUGCCUUUAGGUGCUGAGGAAUGUCUUAGGAGGACAGAGUCAUCCCUUGGGAGGUCAAGUUCAAAAGGAAGUUGCUCCUGAGAUCUGACAUUCCCACCAUCUUCAAAGUGGAUGGGCCACACUCAGCUCAGGCAAGGUGAAUCGGUUUUCAUUUGUCCUAAGAAGGACCAGAACAGAACUAGGAGAAGAAAAGCAUCGUCUCUCAGAAGUGGGAUUUCUUCUAAACCCCGGGGGCCAGGGCCCCCCCCACACUUUCUUUGGUCACAUGCUGAUCUGAUUUUGAACUCAGGCUUAAUUCGGAGAAGGAGUGGCUCUGAGGGUUUCACCUUAAAACACCAUCCACAAGCAAGGCCCCACCCAYUGCCCUAAUCUCCUGACCACUUCCUCUCCCUCCCAGCUCCUUAAAUUAGGUSCCCUGUGGCAUCAGGCUCCUGAUCCUCAGUUGCAUCCUUCAAACCUCUGCCCAGAGGGACCCAGGUCUGUGUGUCACCUGCUCCUCCCCCAAUGCCCUUCCCAGAGCUCCUGCUCCAGAGGCAGGCAGAGGCAGGGGAGCAGCUAGAGGGAAAAAGCAUACCUAAUAAAACACAAGGCCCUUCGAUGGACCGAGAGGAAAUGGGAUGAAAUCCCUGGACUCAGGAAGUUUUGGGGGGCUCCUCUCCAGCUCACGACCACUGAGAUGUCCUCCUCCUAUUCAUGUGCCCCAAUCCCUCCUGGACAACACCUCUCCCAGCUUCCGGGCCUCCUGGAAGUCUUUUCUGACUGCCCUCCCCACAGAGGCACCUCCUCCCUGUUUCUCUCACACCCCCCCUGAGCCUUCCAGCCCACACAGCYGGCCAGGGCUCGGGUCCUGCCGGGGCCAAAUGGGUGAGAUCCUCCCCAGGACUCCUGGCCCUUGAAAAGCCAUCAAACCAAGCCUGUCUGAGGAGGGGCUGGGGCCUCCCAGGACAGAACUCCCUGAGCCGAGAGUGGUGGGCAAAGCUCCAGGCAGGACACAGGGCCCUGGUGAUGCCUCUGUGCUGCGUCUGCUUCCACAGAGCCCUUGGGAGCCCUGUGCCUGAGGCCUGUUCACACAGUUCAUCGCGUGAGCCCCUGGGGAGGACAGUACAAGGACCAGAGUCCCUAAUGUGGACCAGAAGUAUCAAAAGUAUAAUGUCUUUAACAGUAUUUCUUCAGGGGAAGGGAGAAAAAAAGCGCAUCAAUUUAAAGAAAAAGAUGCAGUGAACAAUUGUACAGGACACGCCUAGGAUGUGGCCAAAAUCUAGCCUGCGUAAUGAAGAGACAGGUGUGUGGAGCUUAGGGCUGCUGGGAAUGUGUACAUGCUUCUGGAAGGGCUAGUUGUAGCCCAGCUUUGCUGUGGACUGACUGUGUGCCUCAUGAGAGAUGGGUCACCUCUCUGAGCCUGUGUCCUUGCUCACGGAGCUCACAGAACCUUGUGGGCUAGGGCGAGAAUUAAAUGCAAUAACGUAUGUGCAUACACCGGACGCAUACAUGGAGGCGGUGGUGUGCACCCUCACCAGAAGCCCUUUGGGGGGCAGGGUGUGCACUGUGUGGUGCCUCUGACCUGCGCAGCAAUAGGAGACAGCUCGUCAUUGAGCAGGCCAGAAUGAAAGGAUCAUGGUGAUUACUCCCCAGCCAAGAGAAUGAUUAUCUGAUGAGCUCUUGGAAAUCCUCGUUGGCCAUCUUCCUCAUUACCAUUCCUCUGGGAAUGAUUGUGGGGGAAUUUGACAACAAGGCUGAAUCCUGCAGAAGAGGUAGUGAUGGAGUUAGGGAAAAAYUACUUUACGACUGCCACUGUCAUUGAUGGAUGGAGUCAUUCACUCAACAAACAUUGACUGAUCAUCUUAGGGCUAAGAACAWGAGGAAGACACCAGGUCUGUCCUCGAGGAGCCCACAGUCCCGUGGCAGAACUGGACAUAAUCCUUCCUCUGUGAUAGCAGCUCUGAGAGAGGGGAGCAGGAAGCAGGCUGGGGACACAGGUGGUGACAAUUUCUAAGCCCUUGGAAUAUGCUGCCUGAUACAAGYGUUUUUCCAUAGCUGGGACUUGGGCCAUACCAAGUCCCACUGCUUAUGUGAACAGUGGGAUUUGUGGGGAGGACCCUGGCCCRUGCCACACAGCUUAACUUCUGGGAUGGGAGUCCGGAGACUGAGUAGCUAAGGYCAUUCACGAGGCACUCUGUUCCUAGGUGAUGACUCUCAGUAAAAACCCCCGAACACAAAGUCUCAUCUCAGAUGAGUUUUCCUGGUGGGCGGUUCUUCAGGUGUUGUCACACGUCAUUGCCUGCAGAAUCAAGCGUGGACUUUGCUGGGGAGGACAGCUGCCAGCUCCCCUGGGCUCUCCUGGACCCUGCUCUAGGUACCCUUUCCCUUCGCUGAUUUGAAUCUUGUCCUUUCACUGUAGUAGACAGAACUGGGAUCAUAACAGCUUCUCUGGGUUCUGUAAGUCCUUCGAAUGAAUCAUUGAGACAACUUGAGGGUGGUCAUGGGUACCCCUGACGCACCUCUGUGUGGUGGCCAUGCUGGAGGGGGUGGGCCAGGACGGAGCUCGCGGAUGACAUGGAGGAUGAACAGGGGUUAAGGCAGGGAAAAAAGGGGCCCAGACCAUUUAUAUGUGGUUAGGUCCUGGYGGGUUUGAGGAUCGAGGAUCAGGGGGGAGAGGAGGCGGGGGAAGGAAGCCAGCUGGGACCAGACCCCACAGGGCUCUAUCAACCACAUGGGGAAAUGGAGUGCGUCUGUUUCCCAAGACACCAGGAGCUUCAUACUGGGCAUCCUGUCCACGUCUACCUGGGUCAGCACUAAAGCAGGUGAGGGAUGAAGGGGACGGACGGGCUGAGAUAACAAGGGGCCUUUGCAGGCACUGAGCGCCCAGACCAAGGCAGGGCUGGUGGGGGGACUAAGCAGGAAGGGAUCUGUGUGCAAGACCCACAGGCGGUGGUCCCAAAGGGAUUUGGUGGGAGACUUGGUGUGGGAGGAAGGGGUGAGGGUGGCAGACAGAGGCCUGRGUGGACAUGAGGUUACUGAUAAGGACCAGACAGUCCAGCGGGUUUAAGCAGAUGGGUUCAGAUUCAGACACUGAAUUUUUGCAAUGUAGGAUAUGCCUGUAGACCACAGUGAGCCCAAGGAAAGUGAUUUAAUUAAAUAGAAGGGAUUGAGGAGGAAUUGGGAGCAAUGACAGAGCUGGGAAGGCCUUCAGGACCCCCGAAAAGACUCCUCCCCAAGGCUCCAACACCUCUCUUCUGCAAGUCCAAGUCCAAGGAUAACCUAGUCACUCCCCAAGARUUGAAGUCACUUUCUCUCCCCUGGAACCCGAGCAGGCUUUUCAUUACCUGAAGCAAYAGUGGGGUCCCGGGACUUCUGAGAUUGCCACCUUGCUCUCAUCUCAGGACACUGGGAGCCAGGCACCAGGGCUCAGGCCACAUGGAGGCCACGUGGAGGCGCUGAGUUUGCCAGCCUCUGCUGCCAAGUGUGUGAGUAAAUGGGUCUCCAGGGAUUCCAGCCCCCGGCCAUGGAGCCUCUGGUGGAGGGUCUUAAGCCAUAGUGCCCCCUUCCUAUUUGUGAAUUGUUGACUGCGCUCAUCUAGUGAGUAGUGGAACUUUGACCCCUAGUGCUUGAACUUUUUUGUAUUUUGGAGGGUGUGUGUAAAAUGUAUCAAUCUUUGAAUUAGAAAAGCAUAUAUAUUGUUAUUAUUUUUUUUAAUGAACCUAGGCUACUGCAGCUUAAUUUGCCAUAAACAAUUUGGGUCCUGGGUGUCUCAUAAGUGUUACUGUGUCCUCUAAAACACUUCUCGGGGGACAAAGGUCAGGAGAGAGGUCCACCAGCCCUUCCCUUGCUGGUAGGCACAGGGUGGGGGCUGGUGGUYGACUCUGGACUUCUGUUUUCCUGUUUGUUCUGUAAUUUUGUCUAAAGC